ACGGGUGAGUAACACGUGGGUGAUCUGCCCUGCACUCUGGGAUAAGCUUGGGAAACUGGGUCUAAUACCGGAUAUGACCACAGCAUGCAUGUGUUGUGGUGGAAAGAUUUAUCGGUGCAGGAUGGGCCCGCGGCCUAUCAGCUUGUUGGUGGGGUAAUGGCCUACCAAGGCGACGACGGGUAGCCGACCUGAGAGGGUGACCGGCCACACUGGGACUGAGACACGGCCCAGACUCCUACGGGAGGCAGCAGUGGGGAAUAUUGCACAAUGGGCGGAAGCCUGAUGCAGCGACGCCGCGUGAGGGAUGAAGGCCUUCGGGUUGUAAACCUCUUUCAGCAGGGACGAAGCGUGAGUGACGGUACCUGCAGAAGAAGCACCGGCUAACUACGUGCCAGCAGCCGCGGUAAUACGUAGGGUGCGAGCGUUGUCCGGAAUUACUGGGCGUAAAGAGUUCGUAGGCGGUUUGUCGCGUCGUUUGUGAAAACCCGGGGCUCAACUUCGGGCUUGCAGGCGAUACGGGCAGACCUGAGUGUUUCAGGGGAGACUGGAAUUCCUGGUGUAGCGGUGAAAUGCGCAGA
rnacentral:rRNA from 1 species